rnacentral:rRNA from 1 species
AUACGUAGGGAGCGAGCGUUGUCCGGAUUUAUUGGGUUUAAAGGGUGCGUAGGCGGUUUGCUAAGCGGGAGGUGAAAUGCCGGCGCUCAACGUCGGAAGUGCCUCCCGAACUGGUGGACUUGAAUGACUCUGCCGUGGGAGGAAUGUGUAGUGUAGCGGUGAAAUGCUUAGAGAUUACACAGAACACCGAUUGCGAAGGCAUCUCACGAAGGGUUGAUUGACGCUGAGGCACGAAAGCGUGGGGAUCAAACAGGAUUAGAUACCCUGGUAGUCCACGCAGUAAACGAUGAUGGCUAACCGCUGGGCUUAUCAGUUCAGUGGCCAAGCGAAAGCGAUAAGCCAUCCACCUGGGGAGUACGACCGCAAGGUUGAAACUUAAAGGAAUUGACGGGG